UAGGGAAUCUUCGGCAAUGGGGGCAACCCUGACCGAGCAACGCCGCGUGAGUGAAGAAGGUUUUCGGAUCGUAAAGCUCUGUUGUAAGAGAAGAACGUGUGUGAGAGUGGAAAGUUCACACAGUGACGGUAACUUACCAGAAAGGGACGGCUAACUACGUGCCAGCAGCCGCGGUAAUAUGUAGGUCCCGAGCGUUGUCCGGAUUUAUUGGGCGUAAAGCGAGCGCAGGCGGUUUAAUAAGUCUGAAGUUAAAGGCAGUGGCUUAACCAUUGUUCGCUUUGGAAACUGUUAAACUUGAGUGCAGAAGGGGAGAGUGGAAUUCCAUGUGUAGCGGUGAAAUGCGUAGAUAUAUGGAGGAACACCGGUGGCGAAAGCGGCUCUCUGGUCUGUAACUGACGCUGAGGCUCGAAAGCGUGGGGAGCAAACAGG
rnacentral:rRNA from 1 species